ACCACUAUCGCAGCUGCCUGCUACUACAACCACCACCAACCAUCAGCCGUAGAAUGGCAGCAGCAAUCUCUGGAAUGAACUGCAAAAAGAAGAGUAGACAUAAUGUAAAACACGCAGAAAAAGGCAACAACAAAAAAGAAUAAACAACGAGCAGACAAUGACCUGGCGAAACAGCGUUCCAUCGGCGGCCAUUGUUCAUCAUUGUGCAAUUCGGAACGGCCAGCAUACAGAGUGCAAUGUCGGUGUAAACGCAGUGCAAAAUAGUGUUUUGUGGAAAUUUUUGGCCAAUUGGAAAAAAAAUCCAAUUAAAGUUAAACUAAAAAAAAGUUUUAUACGGUUAACAAUUUUAAGUGAAGUAGAUAAAAAAAACUCGAUUGCACAAAUAAUUUAAUUGGCUUGAGGCUGUGACAAAGUAAUAGUUAUAUACAGUUCUAAAUCUAUACUCAUCUAAUUCGUUGAGCGGAUUUAAGAUAAUUUAUAAAUGUGACUAAAACGUUAACUUUAAUAUCUAAAAUAUAUAUUCCUGGAAGUGAUUUGAAUUUGAUAUGGUCCGGCGACAUUAUUACCAAGGCAUCCGAUUUGAAAUGCAAAAAUCAUGGCUUCAACAUUAAAGCUCAUACCACAGUAAACACUUGCUUUAAUGAACCAGCUGAACAUGCUGUCUGGCGAUUUGAAGAUAGUGGCUUUCUAUGAAUUGAACAGUGGUACGAGUUAUCCAAAAGGCUGAAAAUUUUCAUACGCGAAGUAAUGCAGAUAUUACGUUCGAGGUGGCACGGGUCGAGAUAAUUUAUUUUCAAUGUUGCAGGGUUUUAUACGAAAUUCGUAAUUUAUGAAAAUCAAAAAAGGGCAAAGGUAAGUAGAUUAUUUGUUAUUAAAAAUUCACUUCAA